UCCACUCACUACUGUAAGUUGCUCUGGAUAACAGCGUCUGCUAAAUGAAUAAAA
rfam:Salmo salar isolate Sally breed double haploid chromosome ssa25, whole genome shotgun sequence.